rnacentral:rRNA from 2 species
GAAGUCUGAUGGAGCAACGCCGCGUGAGUGAUGAAGGUUUUCGGAUCGUAAAACUCUGUUGUAAGGGAAGAACCAGUACGUCAGGCAAUGGACGUACCUUGACGGUACCCGAGGAGGAAGCCCCGGCUAACUACGUGCCAGCAGCCGCGGUAAUACGUAGGGGGCGAGCGUUGUCCGGAAUUAUUUGGCGUAAAGGGUGCGUAGGCGGCUGAACAAGUCAGAUGUGAAAGGUUAAGGCUUAACUUUAAUAAGCAUAUGAAACUGUUCAGCUUGAGUUAAGGAGAGGGGAGUGGAAUUCCUAGUGUAGCGGUGAAAUGCGUAGAUAUUAGGAGGAAUACCAGUGGCGAAGGCGACUCUCUGGACUUAAACUGACGCUGAGGCACGAAAGCGUGGGGAGCAAACA